rnacentral:tRNA from 1 species
GUGGCUCAGUGGUAGAGUGCUUGGCUUGCAUGCAUGAGGCCCUGGGUUUGAUUCUCAGC